rnacentral:rRNA from 1 species
CGAGCCAAGUCGUGAGGCGGAGCUAAUCCCUUAAAGCCAUUCUCAGUUCGGAUUGUAGGCUGAAACUCGCCUACAUGAAGCUGGAGUUACUAGUAAUCGCAGAUCAGAAUGCUGCGGUGAAUGCGUUCCCGGGUCUUGUACACACCGCCCGUCACACCACGGAAGUUGGGGGCGCCCGAAGCCACUUAGCUAACCCUUUUGGGAAGCGAGUGUCGAAGGUGAAAUCAAUAACUGGGGUGAAGUCGUAACAAGGUAAC